rnacentral:lncRNA from 1 species
CAUGUAUGUAAAACGUGUAUGUUAAAUUUAUGUAUAUGUAGCAGAAAAGCUGUAUAAAAAACUAAAAGAUAUUUGUCCUCCGAAGAGGGUGGGGGUGGAUAGGGUAAACUUAUUUUAUUCUAUUCUUUUCAAACAUCUGCUUUUCUGUUCUUGAUCUGGGAUCAUCUACCAUUUGACUCCAUCGUUACCUCUUCAGUUGAUUAUCAAUGAGUUGACAUAAAAGGUCCCAUAUUUUAACUGAACCCAAGCUCUUAUAGCACCCUUUUAAAAAGACAGAACAGGAAAUUGUCAGUUCACUAAAUAAAUCUGACUGCUUCCUGUCAUAUCACAGUAUUACAGCUCAUGUCUAUUUGAAAACUAGUGUUGAUACAAAUCUGUGCCUUCUUGACAAACACCCAAUGAGCAACAUAUGUGUGGUGUCACAUUAUAAUAUGCAUGAGAGAGAUAUGACAUCUGUUGUUUUCAUGUAUGUGGUAAAGGAGUUUAGCUCCUCUUGCCAGGAUUACCGUGGAAACAAACUGUGGUUUAGGUGGUAAAUAGACAAGUCUUGUUUCUCUUUGCUAUUUAUUUCUUUACAGUCUGCUGACCAUGAACAGGACAUUACAUACAGCGCAGUGACACACACCAGAAACAGCACAGCAGGAUCCAUUUCCUGAAGCUGAUGAUGAUGUCAAGUACAGCACUGUCAUCCCCCAGCACAAGGCCCAACUAAAAGGACAGACCAAGUCAGCAGAACCAGAUGAUAAUGUGGUCUACAGCUCACUAGCUCUACAGGUGACCACACAGAUCAGUGUUGGUGUCUCCUCUGUCUGUUGUACCAAAUGAUGCUGAUCUCUCAACAAAGAUACAGACAACAUCACAUUACUAUGGAGGGAAGCACAGCAGAGACUGACUGGAAUACCUUGGUGGAGUCCUUUUCCUGGAAGGACAGAACACUCCCCUCUCCUGUGUCACAACAUCUAUCUGCCUCCAAUAUGCUUCUGUCAUACCUCUUAACCCACCCCAGAAAGACCCCUCUAUCCUUUUGUGUAAUAAACUACUGAAGACAGUCUGCUGUGUUUGUUUUCAUUAUCACCACAUACACUAUCUGUUAUAUUAGUUAUGUUCCAUCCAC